UACGUAGGGGGCAAGCGUUGUCCGGAUUUAUUGGGCGUAAAGCGCUCGUAGGCGGUUCGUUGCGUCCUGCGUGAAAGACCCCGGCUCAACUGGGGAGGGUCGUGCGAUACGGUCGGACUCGAGGCCAGUAGGGGGACGCGGAAUUCCGGGUGUAGUGGUGGAAUGCGUAGAGAUCCGGAGGAACACCAGCGGCGAAGGCGGCGUCCUGGACUGGUACUGACGCUCAGGAGCGAAAGCGUGGGGAGCGAUCCGG
rnacentral:rRNA from 1 species